UCCCUGCUGGCCCAGUGGUUAAGACUUUGCACUGCCAAUGCAGAGGGCCUGGGUUCAAUCCCUGGUCAGGGAA